GCCAUGGCCACCAUUCUGGUCUCUUCAACAAUCCCCUCUUGGGGUUCCAGUGGCUUCUCCCCUCUCUGGCUCAGAGGCCCAGGAAAGAGAAACAGAGGCCAAGCAGGGGGUGGCUGAAGUCCCAUGGCCAUGAACUUUCAGGAAAAUGUGACCCUGGCCAUGGCCGUGUUCACCAUCCUGGCCUCCCUCUACUUCUUCAACAAGGCUCAGCAGUGAGAAGACACAGGACCUCCACACCCAAGAGCCCUGCCUCUGCCCUGACCAUUGCUCUGAGACCAAAUAAAUGUAACUGACUCUGCACACCCUGCUGCCCGCGCCAUGGCCCCUGUGCCCAGCCCGGGCCUGCCCCACACCUGGGAGCUCUCUGUUUCAGGACAGAGUUGGGUAGGGGGUCCAAUCUCCAGGCUCUGAGGUUCAGAAGGCACCA